CCACAGACAGUACCUUAGAGUCUAAGCUUAGAUACCUUUGUCUUGUUUUUGUGGCUAAGGAUUCUCAGAGUUGCGGGAUGCUGAUGAAAUUUAUCCCAAAAGAUACAUGAUCCCUUAAUUCAGGCUCAGGCUGAAGAACUGACCCACUUACAACAGAAGAUACAGGAAGGGAGAGGUGUCUGCUACCUUUUCACCCAGCAUGUGAAGAACACAGUCAAGUCUUUUGAGGGCCUUCUCAGGAACACUGACAUUGCCUACUACCAGAGACAGAGAUUCUGUGAGCAAAUGGUACAAGGAAGCCAGCUGACAGAGAUCCUUGUCAGAAAACUUGCCACAGAAUCAACCCCAAUGCUCACUAACAAACUGAGAAGAAAA
rnacentral:lncRNA from 1 species